rnacentral:tRNA from 1 species
GGUCGUAUAGUGUAGUGGUUAUCACCCCGGAUUUUGAUUUAGAACAGAAUUCCGGUGACCCCGGUUCGACUCCGGGUAUGACCA